rnacentral:lncRNA from 1 species
AGACACAAAGCCUUGUCAGUAUCUUGAGUAAAUCUGUGGCAAGUUUCUUUUCCAAGAUGGGGCCUUUCCAUCGUGAUCAUGAGACCUACGUAAAUGAUUAUGUGAACCUAAGUUUCUCACAAGGAAGCUGGCGUGCUGUGCUUUGGGGAUGCUUAGUUCCUGUGACCAGAAUGGAAAGACUGAUCUCUGCUCAGUGACCAGGGCCCCCAGAUGGAGUCCGGUAGGAGCUCAACAAAGGCUCCUUGACAAUUCAGUUCCACCACAAAAAAUUACCUAAACCUACCCUACCUCCAUUUUACACACACACUGGCCAGUAACCUCUGCUUUCCAAAUCAUGAAGUCCAUUAAGUAUUUGAACUGGAAAAAGAAGAUGUGGCUCAAAGGAGGCGUCAGAAAUACGAAGAGGAACAAGAGAAGGAGAUAUAGGUCCCUCGUGGCUGAUGGUCGGGAGCUUCACCGCGAGCUGAAUCUGCGAAGGACACUGAGCCUUCCGCCUAAACAGGUCUUGGCCCCAGUCACUGGGCAGAAUUCACAACAGGUAAUGACUUCCAUGUUAGUAAUUACAGUGAUUGAAACAACUCCUUUCCGGCUGUAACAGAGAAAUGGCCCUCUGACAGCAAAGAACACCCAGGAGCUCUUAUGCAAAUUUGGACACAAGAAACCCUAGAAAAUCACCUUGUUCUGCUCAUAGGACCAGCGUUUUAUUCUGUUUUGUGUCAUCUGGGACCUGGGGUGUGAAUGGAGUGAGGGGCUAGGCCUUUUUUACAGAGAACAGACUCAGGGCCUGUGAACGGGGGCUCACCUGCCUGCUCUGUGGUAUGUUCUGUUUUGCCUGAAUACCUGGGGACAGUCUCAGGCCACACUGGGAGCUGGUUCCAUCUAAUUCCAUUCAUUGCUGGAACAUUCAGCUCCUGGGGAUGAAGCAGGGCUGGCUGAAACCCAGGGACCCUGGAGGGGCUCACGGCUCUGGCAGCACCAGCAGCGUGGUGGGCCCAGUCCUCCCAGAAGGUCCGAGCUGGUGAAAUUCAUGUGAAAAGUCCCUUGAAACACCCCAUCAUCCCCACGGGACAGAGAUGAGACAGGUGGGUGCCCGUUUCCUUCCUCUGAGAAGCAGAGUGGGAGGAUGUGAUUGAACUUCACGUGUCCCCUCAGAGUCCACCCAGGCCCGGGCCAGGAGGUAGCCUACGGCCCACACUGGAGUUCCUUCAGUUCACACAGUCACUCAGGGAGCGUCAGCUCCACAGGACAUCCGGGCUUUGGGAGCCAGGGCUUCCUCUGCCUUCCACAGACUCAGCGCUAAGGGAGCUCACUGCUGUCGGGGUUUGGUGGAGAAGCACGCAGUGGGGCUACAAGGCCUCCACAUGGUCUCCCUGUGGGUGAUGGGACAGACUUCUGAAGGAGCCCCGUGUUUUCAGGGCUGUGGAAGGUCUCUGGGGCCUCUCAGGACCCUCUCCAGAUCCUCUCCUUCCUCCAUAACCUAGAUUGCCACUCUGGGUUAUGGAGGAAGGACAGGGUCUGGUGGCUACAGGCAACAGACACAACCUCUGAUGCCAGGUGCUCAGGGGCAGGCUUUUCUGGGGAGAAUAAG